rnacentral:rRNA from 1 species
GACGUAGGGCGCGAGCGUUGUCCGGAAUUACUGGGCGUAAAGCGUGCGCAGGCGGCUUUGCAAGACAGAUGUGAAAUCCCCGGGCUUAACCUGGGAACUGCAUUUGUGACUGCAUGGCUAGAGUGCGGCAGAGGGGGAUGGAAUUCCUGGUGUAGCGGUGAAAUGCGCAGAUAUCAGGAGGAACACCUGUGGUGUAGACGGCUUACUGGACCAUGACUGACGCUGGAGGCACGAAAGCGUGGGGAGCAAACAGG